CAUAAAUUAUUCCUUUUUUGUAUGUUUUUUUUAAAUAACAUUUACGGUUUUUUUAGUGUCAAUAAUUCUUCAACAAAUUCUUAUAUAAAUAUUAUGUUUUUUUUAUAUAAUUAACCACUUUAUACAUUCUUUACAUUAACUUUAUGUAAUUCUUAUAUAACGCUGCUACUAGGGUUGUGAGUCCCUCUAGACCUCAUAAUUUAGGAUGUGAGAACAACGAUCUUUAGCCAAGUGCUCAUACAAGAAUAGUAGGACACAAUUCUAUUAUCAAAUGCAAUUUUAUUUUGUUCCAGAAGAACAACUGAGCCCGCCACAGUUCAACAGAAAACACUCACUGGGGUAUAAUUUCUAAUAUAUCAGGCUUCAGAAUUACUUGUAGAGUUGGCAAGCCCCACUACACCAAAAAAAGGUAAUUGCAACAUUACAAUAAAACAGCAAAUAGAAUUGCUGCAUUACAGCAAAAUAAAUUAACUUAUUAAAUUGUCAUAAGUACGUUCUUUUGUCUGCUCCUGAUUAGUUUCUCAAAUCCGGAAUACAUUUUAGACAAAAUCUCAAUCUAUGUAACCUGGAACAAUGAUAUUUUUACCAUGAUAUUAUUCACCAUUGCCAUCUUCUGUAUAUGAUGCAGAACAUACAGGGUGUCCCAGAGCACCCGUACCAGGCCUUUUUCUCGGUUGAUUUAGGUCGAACGAAGUCAGGCACUGCGAGGAGAGGCUCAAUUUCCUCCAACCUCUGAAAUUUUGCCUUCUCCAUUUAUCCCUCAAGAAUGGCUAGGGGGGCCUCGGGAUCAUGUAAAUCGGGUUCCUUGGUGUCGAUUACCUGGGAUAUCAUCUUUUUCCGGAGAAGCUGCGUCAAUUUUUGACCAAAGGGAAAUUAUGGAGGGGGCUGCUGUCCCCCUCUGUAAGGGAUCAUUCUUGAGCGUGAAGUGGUCCGACUUUGGAUUUUUAAGGGUCGAUUUUACAUGAAAUUUUUCGUACUUUUCAACUCUAAUGUAAUCAAAUCGAAAUUCGAUCGAAAACCCCGACUUUUAGGAUCGUUACCCCCCCCCCCCCUUUAUCCUCCAAGGGGGGCUGGGAGGGGUUUUGAUACCAUGAAAUUCGGAUGCCUUGGGGUCGGUUCUCUAUUCAACCCUGUGGUCCCUGACUUCGUUCGACCUAAAUCAAUCGAGAUAAAGGCCUGGUGCGGGUGCUCUGGGACACCCUGUAUUUUAAAUAUAUUAUAUAUAUAUAUUAUUAAUGCAAGUCUUCCUCUAUUUAAAAUAAACAUAGCGUUAAUCAUACCUAAUUUUCAUUAUCUAUUAAACUUUUCAAUCCAUGGAAGGUUCCUUUAAAUAUUUUAAUACAGCCUUAUCUUAUAUUCUUUCACAUAAAAGCUAGCUCCAGUAACCCAGCGUUUGGGAAACUAAUUCGAAUACCCUGUUCAUCCAAAUAAUUUUCUCUUUUACCUCGAUGUUAACCAAAACACCAAGUUUUAGCUAAAAAUAAGCUUUAUUGUUUUCCCUCCCUAUCUUUAUAUGUGAUUUUUUUUUCAUUUUGUUUUCCAAGAUUUUUAUAUUUGUUCAGUUUUAUUUCUUUAAUUCUGAUUGUUUCACACGUGCUUUUUAAUGUUUGUCUUGUAUCCUAUGCUUGCAUCCAUUGAAAAUUACAGAGGCUUUUUAUCAUUGGUUCAGAUCAGUAAUAUGAACUUUAAAUGUUAAAACACUUAUCACAGUAUCAUAGGCCACAUUUUGCUGGCUAUGAGUGGCUGCAAAGUUUAUAAACAUAACUGUAAAAUGAACAGAAUUGCGAUUUGGCUCACGAAUCUUUAAGUCAGUGUUAAAGAUUUAGCAAACAUGCAUUAAAACUUAAAAGUCAUUCUAAAACUGAUGUCUCAAGAAAGAGAAGGAAAGUUCAUCCAAGCACAAUUUUCCCUCAGGAAGAUAUGCCGUUUUAUUUUAUUUGAUUUUUACAAAAUUGUAGAGAAGCCUCUAUACUUAAGAAACCACGGUACGGGUCAAGCACUAGGAAGUGCGCUUGAACCCCAUUUCGAACUCAUCUUUCUUACAACCAAAAAGCAUUUAAUUUAAAAAUAUGAAUAAGUUGAUGCAAUUCUAUCAUUUUUUCCAAGCGAUCUCUUCAACACUUUAAAAGGUCUCUUUAAGCACAAGGCUGAUUACUCAAAGUUUAAAUCAGCAUGAUAAGACAUCAAAAUGCGAUAUAUUGCUCCUUUAAGCUAAGGUUUUGUCUUGUCUAGUCGUGCUGACAUAGUUUCAAUAUUCGGACUACAGGAGCUUUUCUGCUUCCCUGAGGAACGAUUUAGAGUGCAUUUUUGAAGAGAAGCUUUAUUUCUGACAGAAGUGCAUUUACUUAAUGAAUAGCUGAAUAUUUGAUAUAACUCUCAGAAAUCGUUUUAAAAAAAUGUCCAAAAUUCCAACGUUUGUGAUAUUUGAAUGCCUAGAACCAUAUUAACGGUCAGGAAUAAAAUGAGCUGGUACAAUAAGUACAUCAUUUAUCGCCUUCUUAUUGCUCUAAAAACUAUACAGUGAUGAUUGCGAAAAUAGCAUCUGCAGCCUUGACUGCAUAAUUGUAUGAAAUUAGGCGUGAAAUUAGUCAGUGAGGGGGCUCUUCAGUAUCCCAAGUAGCACAGUGCAUAGAAAUAUAAUUGCAAUUUAAUACUGUAUAAUUGCAAUUUAAUACUGUAAAAUUGCUAUUUUUUACCAUAAAAUUAAAAUAUUUGUUCAUCAUUUGGUCAGUGAAUGCCGUUUAUGAAUAGUUAAAAAAAUAAGUUCCUUAUGUCAGAAAAAUAGGCAAUUUUCAAUGUAGUAAAAAUUGUGAUUUUUUCAAUUUUAUUGAAUUGAAUUACAAUACCAGACGCCCCUUCAAUCAGGAGAUAGGCAACAUACUCAUCACUCCAAUACAGUGCUAAAACCAUAUACUGCAAUUUACUUCAAUCUGUGCUGCUUGGAAACUGGAGACAAACCUCUCGAAGCCAGGUAACGAAAUUUGGGCCCUAAGUUAAAUUUCGGAAAUUCAUUUUAGUUUGCUUCGCAGUCUGUGAACAUGACUCUAAAAUAUCGUGAAAAAUUGUCAAAGGGAACGAAAAGCGCAAUAGAAAUGAAACAUAUUUUGCAGUACUGUGUGAUUAAAUGAGCAAAGAAAUAAAAAUAAGAAGAAUUAAAUCAUAAAUGAAAAGUUAAACGGGCAAAGUAUAGCUUAAAUCUGAGAAUCAUAACUGAAUAGUUGAAUACUUUUUUAUUUUUCUUCUCAUUUAAUGUUUCAUUCAUGAUUCUCAGAUUGAAUCUCCUUAUUUCAUUUGUUAUAGUCUUUACCUGAAAUUAAUUUUAUACAAUUACAUGUUACGUUUCUAAUUUUAUCAAGCUUGUUUCAAAAUUAUAAAAAUUUUAUUUUUGUUCGAAUAUAUUUUCAUUGAUCGCUAUA